rnacentral:rRNA from 1 species
AACGAACGCUGGCGGCAGGCCUAACACAUGCAAGUCGAGCGGUAGAGAGGUGCUUGCAUCUCUUGAGAGCGGCGGACGGGUGAGUAAUGCCUAGGAAUCUGCCUAGUGGUGGGGGAUAACGUUCGGAAACGGACGCUAAUACCGCAUACGUCCUACGGGAGAAAGCGGGGGAUCUUCGGACCUCGCGCCAUUAGAUGAGCCUAGGUCGGAUUAGCUAGUUGGUGAGGUAAUGGCUCACCAAGGCGACGAUCCGUAACUGGUCUGAGGGGAUGAUCAGUCACACUGGAACUGAGACACGGUCCAGACUCCUACGGGAGGCAGCAGUGGGGAAUAUUGGACAAUGGGCGAAAGCCUGAUCCAGCCAUGCCGCGUGUGUGAAGAAGGUCUUCGGAUUGUAAAGCACUUUAAGUUGGGAGGAAGGGCAGUAAGUUAAUACCUUGCUGUUUUGACGUUACCAACAGAAUAAGCACCGGCUAACUUCGUGCCAGCAGCC